rnacentral:rRNA from 1 species
GAGAGAGACAUGCGCGCAUAUCAAUAAGCGGAGGAAAAGAAACUAACUAGGAUUCCCUCAGUAACGGCGAGUGAAGCGGGAAGAGCUCAAAUUUGAAAUCUUCAAGGUUCUACCUUGACGAAUUGUAGUUUAAAGAAGUGUUUUCUGUUGGAAGUUUUGGUAAAAGUUCUUUGGAAUAGGACAUCAUAGAGGGUGAGAAUCCCGUAUUUGACCAUUAUUUUCCAGCUGUGUGAUACACUUUCAAAGAGUCGGAUUGUUUGGGAAUGCAGUCCAAAAUGGGUGGUAAAUUUCAUCUAAAGCUAAAUAUUGGCGAGAGACCGAUAGGCGAACAAGUACCGUGAGGGAAAGAUGAAAAGAACUUUGAAAAGAGAGUUAAACAGUACGUGAAAUUGUCAAAAGGGAAGCGUUUGACACCAGUGUUGUUUUCUCGAAAAUCAAUUAAAAAAGGCAGGAUUUUGUGUUGUAUUGACUUUAUCAGCUUUCUGCACUCUUUUCUUGUCUUUUUUUAAUGCACUUUUCGUUUAACAAGUCAACAUCAAUUUCUUUUGUUGUAAAAGGGUCAUUGGAAGGUGGCUUUCUUUUCGGAGAAAGUGUUUAUAGCCUUUGGCCUCUGCAAUCGGAGAGAUUGAGGUCUGCAGCGUAGAUCCUUCGGGGUUAGAUACAUUUGUGCUAAGUUAUAGCCUUUCAUAGACAACUUGUUGACUAUGAUCAGUCAUGUAGCUUACUCGCUUAUGCUAUUUUACCUACGCUUAGGAUGUUGAUGUGAUACUGCGAGCA